ACUUCUAGUCCUCACACUGGCAAAGUGAGCCAUCUUUCCAGCCCAAUGCAACAUUGUUUUACAUCAAACUUACAAGAAUUACUAUGCUGGGUAUAUAGCUCAGUGGAAGAACGCUAGCCUGGCAUAUGUGAGGCCAUAGGUUCAAUCCCCAAUGGUGCAGAAACAAAACCAGCAACAACAAGCUGACAAACCAACAGUAGCAGCAGCAGCAGCAGCAGCAGCAGCAGCAGCAGCAGCAGCAGCAGCAACCACCACAAACUAGGCAAAGAUUCCAUUUUGAAAAGAAAGAUCUAAAGAAACAGUGGACCUUCAUGUUUAAUGGAUUACUGUGUAUUUCAGGUGCCACCCUGGUGUCUUUGUUGGCCUGCAGUGAUGCUACAUUGUACCCAAUGACAAACCAACGACAAACUCAGAAGAAGCAAAAGCUUUCCCAGCAAUGAGCAGGCAGAAACUUCUGGGAAGCAAGAUGUGUGAAGAAGUAUGACAAACAACACAGACUUAAUUGCUUACAGCUUCCCGGAGACACAAUCUCUUCAGUUCCUCCAGCCUCUGGCGCAGCGUCUCCUCCAGAGCUUCCUGCCUGGAUUUCAAGGCAGCCAACAUGUCUUUCUUGGCUGACUGCGAGCUAUCUGAUUCCUGAGAACCUGUUGAUAAACAGCGGGGUUACUAGGCGGCUG
rnacentral:lncRNA from 1 species